rnacentral:rRNA from 1 species
UACGGAGGGUGCAAGCGUUAUCCGGAUUCACUGGGUUUAAAGGGUGCGUAGGCGGUUUGGUAAGUCCGUGGUGAAAUCCCCAAGCUUAACUUGGGAACUGCCGUGGAUACUAUCAAUCUUGAAUAUCGUGGAGGUAAGCGGAAUAUGUCAUGUAGCGGUGAAAUGCUUAGAUAUGACAUAGAACACCAAUUGCGUAGGCAGCUUACUACACGAUCAUUGACGCUGAGGCACGAAAGCGUGGGGAGCAAACAGG